GCAUGCCAAGCGGCAUUCAGGAGCUCUACACAACCGGUGAGCUCAGACUAGAGCCUGAAUCCCCGGGAUGAGCUGCAUUUCAGAGACCCAGCGGAUUUGCACAGCAACCAGGUGACAAGCAACAGAAGCCAAUUUGGAGCACUACAGGAAGAGAGGUCGGAUGGUCGGAUGUCAUGAGCAGGAAUUGAUGGAAGAAUCCAGGCUGGGAGGGGUCACGAGCAUCACAGAAGACCUACAGAGCCAACUAACAUUGGUCCACGGGGGCCCACAGAGACUGAACCAGCUACCAAAGAGCAUGCAUGGACUUAGUCUAGGCUCCCUACACAUAUGUAGCAGAUGUGUAGCUUGGUCGUCAUCCUGGUCCCUAACAAUGGGAACAGGGGCUAACUCUCACUUGGACUCUUGUUGCCUGCCACUGGAUUCCUUUUCCUUAGCUGGGCUGCCUCGUCUGGCCUCAGUGGAAGAGGAUGCACUUGUUCUCAUGAGACUUAAUGUGUCAGGGCAGGUUGGUACCAAGAGGGGGUGGCCUCUCCUCCUCAGAGAAGGGGAGAGGGGA